rnacentral:rRNA from 1 species
GUCAAGAAUCUUCCUCAAUGGACGAAAGUCUGAAGGAGCGACGCCGCGUGCACGAAGAAGCUUUUCGGAGUGUAAAGUGCUUUUAUCAGUGACGAAACAAUGACGGUAACUGAUGAAUAAGGGGCUGCUAACCUCGUGCCAGCAGCAGCGGUAAUACGAGGGCCCCAAGCGUUAUCCGGAUUUAUUGGGCGUAAAGCGUCCGUAGGUGGCUAGUCGCAUCUUCUGUUAAAUCUCUGGGCUCAACCCAGAGCCAGCGGAAGAGAUGGAUUGGCUAGAGACUGGAAGAGGCAAACGGAAUUGCUGGUGUAGGGGUUAAAUCCAUUAAUAUCAGCAAGAACAUCAAAUGCGAAGGCAGUUUGCUAGGACAGUUCUGACACUCAGUGGACGAAAGCGUGGGGAGCGAAUGGGAUUAGAUACCCGAGUAGUCC